GACGAACGCUGGCGGCGGGCUUAACACAUGCAAGUCGAACGGAAAGGCCCUGCUUUUGUGGGGUGCUCGAGUGGCGAAAGGGUGAGUAACACGUGAGUAACCUGCCCUUGACUUUGGGAUAACUUCAGGAAACUGGGGCUAAUACCGGAUAGGAGCUCCUGCUGCAUGGUGGGGGUUGGAAAGUUUCGGCGGUUGGGGAUGGACUCGCGGCUUAUCAGCUUGUUGGUGGGGUAGUGGCUUACCAAGGCUUUGACGGGUAGCCGGCCUGAGAGGGUGACCGGCCACAUUGGGACUGAGAUACGGCCCAGACUCCUACGGGAGGCAGCAGUGGGGAAUAUUGCACAAUGGGCGGAAGCCUGAUGCAGCAACGCCGCGUGCGGGAUGACGGCCUUCGGGUUGUAAACCGCUUUCGCCUGUGACGAAGCGUGAGUGACGGUAAUGGGUAAAGAAGCACCGGCUAACUACGUG
rnacentral:rRNA from 1 species